rnacentral:rRNA from 1 species
UACGAGGGGUCCUAGCGUUGUUCGGAAUCAUUGGGCGUAAAGCGGAUGUAGGCGGAAAUGUAGGUCAGAAGUGAAAGUCCCAGGCUCAACCUGGGAAGUGCUUUUGAAACCCCAUUUCUUGAGUGUAGAAGAGGUGAGUGGAAUUCCAGGUGUAGUGGUGAAAUACGUAGAUAUCUGGAGGAACACCAGUGGCGAAGGCG